rnacentral:rRNA from 1 species
CCUACGGGUGGCAGCAGUGAGGAAUAUUGGUCAAUGGACGAGAGUCUGAACCAGCCAAGUAGCGUGAAGGAUGACUGCCCUAUGGGUUGUAAACUUCUUUUAUAAAGGAAUAAAACGAGGCACGUGUGCCUUUUUGCAUGUACUUUAUGAAUAAGGAUCGGCUAACUCCGUGCCAGCAGCCGCGGUAAUACGGAGGAUCCGAGCGGUAUCCGGAGUUAUUGGGUUUAAAGGGAGCGUAGAUGGGUUGUUAAGUCAGUUGUGAAAGUUUGCGGAUCAACCGUAAAAUUGCAAUUGAUACUGGCAGUCGUGAGUACAGUUGAGGUAGGCGGAAUUCGUGGUGUAGCGGUGAAAUGCUGAGAUAUCACGAAGAACCCCGAUUGCGAAGGCAGCUUACUAAACUGUGACUGACAUUGAUGCUCGAAAGUGUGGGUAUCAAACAGGAUUAGAUACCCCAGUAGUC